UCAAGGAUAAAACAUAAAAGGACAAACAUAAACGACUUGCGGGAAGGCGGUUAACUGGCUGUGGACCAAUGAAAAAUACUUUUCCUGAAAGAUAAGUACACAAUAUUACAAAUACAUAUGCAUAACUAUAAGUAAUCAUAGCAUAGGCGGAUCCAGGGGGGUCCUCCCUUUUGUGGGAAAAAUUUGGUUGAUUAUAUAGGAAAUCACAAGAAGUCAUGAAUAUUCAAAUUGUAUUUGUUCAACAAUCAUGAAUAUUCAAAUAUGUAAUUGGUCAAUUUUAACAUGUACAUGUAUAAUAACGUCCUUGAACAAUCCUAUAAAUUCGCCCGCAAAGAUUUACUUUUUUGUCAGUUUUGAGAUCUUCAGCAUUGACGAAAUUUGAAAAUCUGGUAUUAAAGAUGGCAGUUCUUAAGAUGAUAUUGCUUGUCUCAGCUUUUCUUGUCAUACGGGCCGAGGAGGAGAGUAAAGGGCAUAUACACAAGAAAAUGGAAACGGGUUCUGAUCCUGAAACGGAAGCCUCAGAUAGACUACUUCGACGUAAACGGGACUACUACGGACAAUGCACGCCCGUAAGCACACCAUUUACUGUCGACGGAGGCGGCAAUACUGUUUUUUUGGACCGUCAAAGUCCAAACUGUGGGCUUACCGCUAUGAGAUCAUUCCAUUUGGUACGAAACGGAGCCGGAAACCGGGUCAGAUAUGAUUUAAGUUGUUGUAGCCUACCUCGUGAUUUCAGCUGUACAACCGAAUCACGACACACGAUGUUCAAUUUUGAUGGGAAAGGUAAAGUGGUAUAUUUGGAUCGUCAUCAAGUAGCAUGUCCCCAUAACGGAUUUUUAAAGCAGUUUCACCUGAACCGCAAUGGAGGUCACGACAUGUACAGGUAUACUUAUUCUUGCUGUACACCAAAUGUGUCGGAGCGGGCAAACAUGAAAUGCACGUCCCACAGCACACCAGCUAAUUCUGAUGGUGGUGGAAAGAAUUUCGUAUAUCUUGAUAGACACCAAGUGACCUGUCAUCUUGGAUACUUCCUGAAUAACUUUCAACUUGUCCGUCCAACUCAUCAUACAAUACGCUACAAUUACAGAUGUUGUGCAUAUAUUCGGAACCAAUGAAAUCCUUAUGCACCCACAAAACCUCAUGAUCUCAACAACCCGAAGUGAAAUGCUGAUGAUGUUGAACUUUGAAAAUAUAACUGCUUGAUUUAGAAUAUUGAUAUUGUAUUAUAUUUGAUAUCGUUAUUUUUAUUCAGAUUAGGAAUCUAGGGAGGAAUUGUAAAAAAAAUCCUUUAGUUUCAAAAUGAAGGUUACCGUGAAAAUAAAUUACUUUUUAAGAAAAAGAUUCAAACCUUAAACUUUACUUAUAAUGAAAAAAAAUAUUUACCUUAAGAUUCUUUUCAAAAUGCCUAUUAUGACUCCUUGCUAAUAUUGUAGUACUUCUGAAAUAAAUAUUCAUGUUUGAAAAAUCGCUUUGAUAUAUUAAUACACUAUACAAUAAAUGCUUCAUUUCA